AAUUGUUUUUAAGAUUCAACUGUAAACUGCUUUCAAAUAUUUUGGAAUAAGAAUGAAGAUUGUCUGUUAGUUUUUAUUUGGUGUUUCCAAUUUGGAUUUAUUCAGUGUUGUCCACGUAUAAGUCGUAUUAUAAAUGUUUUGGUUCUGUUAAUGAUGGCAGUACAGGAGAUAACUCGGAUGAUUCCGAGACAUCAAUUGGUAUUCAUACUACUGUUGAAAGUAUCGACCUCGUACUUCGGAAAUCAACUUGAAGAUACUAAAAAUAAUAACGGAUCAUGGCAGUACAGGAGAUAACUCGGAUGAUUCCGAGACAUCAAUUGGUAUUCAUACUACUGUUGAAAGUAUCGACCUCGUACUUCGGAAAUCAACUUGAAGAUACUAAAAAUAAUAACGGAUCAUUCAACUGUAAACUGCUUUCAAAUAUUUUGGAAUAAGAAUGAAGAUUGUCUGUUAGUUUUUAUUUGGUGUUUCCAAUUUGGAUUUAUUCAGUGUUGUCCACGUAUAAGUCGUAUUAUAAAUGUUUUGGUUCUGUUAAUGAUGGCAGUACAGGAGAUAACUCGGAUGAUUCCGAGACAUCAAUUGGUAUUCAUACUACUGUUGAAAGUAUCGACCUCGUACUUCGGAAAUCAACUUGAAGAUACUAAAAAUAAUAACGGAUCAUGGCAGUACAGGAGAUAACUCGGAUGAUUCCGAGACAUCAAUUGGUAUUCAUACUACUGUUGAAAGUAUCGACCUCGUACUUCGGAAAUCAACUUGAAGAUACUAAAAAUAAUAACGGAUCAAAUCUGUGAUCGCAAAAAAAGCAGAAACAAAUGUGAAAAUCAAUAUUAUACAUCUAAUCAUCACCAUAUCACAAUGUUUGUCUACACUGGAACAAGUGGGACGUGUUAUGAUCACUGAAAAUAGUUCGAACAGUUCGUUCGAGUCCAGUGUAUUGGGAUUGCCAACAGUCUCGACUCCUCCGAUUGUAUCCAGACACUCGAAGUUUGGUACACAAAGUAGAUAAAUAGUUGAAACAAUAUGGUAAACAACGAAUUAGCCGCAAGAAACAACAACUUGCUACAAGUGGAGUUUCUAGAAGGAGAUGGUCGAUCGGACAGGGGGUCUUAUGCACCAGGCGCCAACGUACAGAUAUCGCUGGUCCAACGGAUCGACCACAAUGGUUUUUGCAGAUACUUUGACGUACGUAUACGACGAUCGGUAGUCCCUCUACGAUUAUCAUCACUCUCAAUCCAACUACGACCAUCAUCACUGCCAUCAUUUUACUAUCAACUACAACGAAGGCCAUGACGGCUAUGUCGCUGAUAAAGUCAUUAAGAACGAAAUGAACCACCACAAUCAUCAUCACCAGCCAGUUAAUACCACCACAGUCACCAAUACCAAACAUUCUGAGCGUCUAUCAAGGCGCAAAAACGGGUGCGACUAAAAUUAUCAAGACAAAAGCUGCCACGAUCUGUUUAUUAAAUCUUCGUAGCCGAGAGUCGUAUCGGAACCCAUCGUAUUCAAGCAAUGACUAUUAUAAUUAUAAGAUAUAUAAUUAUCAUACGUACAAUUGGAAACGCCGGCAACAGAAGAUUCUACAUGUGACUAAAAAUAGCAUACGACGCACCAUUUAAGAACAAUUCCUGAAUACAGACGAUGAAAACGGGAUAGCAAAACGAUGCCGAUUUAUUUGGAGAUCAUGGACAACACCAUUGUCCUAAACCGGGUGGAAGAGAUCCAGAUAUUUGUAGAUAUAGGAACUAGUUAUCUACUUUUCACGUGGUGAAUAUAAUUACGAUGAAGAUAACGACAACUUUCAACCACGGAAAUAUGUUGUAUACAAUGUUUGAAUAGAACGAUGAGGAAAUUCGCAUAUUUACAUCAAAACGGUAUGCUCUCUACCAAUUGAUAGAAUCAAACAUGUAUCAGAAGAAGACUAAAUAUAUUAUGAUGCGCCUAAACUAUUUUUAUUUUGUAUUCUUGUCAAUUAUUUACAAAUCGCAAAACUUUUUCUAUUUCACAUUUUUAAAUAGCAGAUAUAAAUUUUAAAGGCCUCAAGUAAUUAAUAAUGAAUGUUAAAAGUAUUAAUAGUUCGUUUCAAUAUUUAGUCUUAAUUUUAAAACAUAGAGUUUAUCUUAAUCGUUAUAAUCAUCACCGCAUGAAAAGUAUAUAACUAGUUCCUAUAUCUACAAAUGUCUGGAUCUCUUCCCUCUGGUAUAGGACAAUGCUAUUAUCCAUAAUCUCCAAAUGAAUCGGCAUCGUUUUACCAUCCACUUUUCAUCAUCUGUAAUCAGGACUUUUUCUUAAAUGGUGCUUCGUAUGCUAUUUUUAGUCACAUCUAGAAUUUUCCGUUGGCCGACGUUUUCAAUUGUACGUAUGAUAAUUAUAUAUACUAUAAUUAUAACAGUCAUUGCUUGAAUACGACGGGUUCCGGUACGGCUCUCGGCUACGAAGAUUUAAAAAACAGAUCGUGGCAGCUUUUGUCUUGAUAAUUUUAGUCGCAUCCGUUUUUGCGCCUUGAAUAGACGCUUAGUCUGCUUAAUAUAUCGUAUAAUGCCGAAUGAUGAGUUCUAAGCCAAAAGGUGUGGUUAUAAUCCGGUGGAACUCCGAGCGGUGUGUAGUUUAUUGGUAUGAUAACGGCGAUCAGUGGCGGUACUUUUCUCUAGUAAAGAAUUCAUUUGGUUGAUGUUAUAGAUUAGGUGGGUGGUAGUGGUAUUGGUGUCUGUGGUGGUGAUGAAUAGGCAGUGAAGAUGAUUGUGGUGGUUCAUUUCGUUCUUAAUGUCUUUGUCUGUAUCAUAUCCAUCAUGGUUUUGUUGUAGUUGGAUUGACGAUGUAGGAAUAGUGGUAGUAGAAACGAUGGUGGUGGUGAUGGUCGUAGUUGAAUUGACAGUGAUAAUAAUUGUAAAGGGACUGCUGAUCGUCGUAUACGUACGUCAAAAUAUCUGUAAAAACCAUUUGAUAAAUCCGGCGGACCAACGGUGUCUGAUGUAUGUUGGCGCCUGAUGCAUAAAACCCCCAAUCCGAUCGACCGUCUCCUUCUAGAAAUUCCACUUCUAACAAGUUAUUGUUUCUUUCGGCUAAUUCGUAGUUUACCAUAUUUGUUUCAACUAUUUAUUUACUUCGUGUACAAAACCUCGCGCGUCAGGAUACAAUAGUCGAAGUAUAAUGAAAUUAUACAUAAUUGUGACACGAACCCCACGUUUUUUGUAUGUGAAAAACCCACUACAAUUACUGUAAUAAAUAGUCUUUCACGCGAAAAAUUAAAAGUUCUGGAAAGUUAUACUUUAAGUCUGGGUGUAUUGCUUACACCUCGAAAGUUAUACUAAAACCUGAACAAAUAUUAAAUCAGACAUAUUUCUCAUUUCCAGUAGACAUCUCUUAUGAAUGAUUCAUACUGUAAUGUUUUCAACUUUUCAAAUCAGCUCUAUCUCAAACCUAUUUACUUCGAUGAAAUAAAAAAUAUAAAUUUAAUAAAGUAACGUUCAAUAAAGUAAAUAAAUAAUUAGGGUAAUUCGACCAACAAGAUAUGUUAUUAAACUCACUUACUGUAGAUAAAACGUAUGAUUAUAUAUAAGCUACAGAAAACAUUAAUUUAAAUUAAAAUCCUACAAAUUCUAA